AGACAUACAUUCAUACUGACAUACAUAUACACAAAUACCUAAUGACAUAUAGACAUACAUUCAUAUAUACAUAGAUACUGGCAUACAUACAUACUGACAGACAUACUGAGACAUACAUAAUGACAUACAUUGAUACAUGCAUACAUACAGACAUACAUUCAUAAUGACAUACAUAAUAACAUACAUACUGACAGACAUACAGACAUACAUUCAUAAUGACAUACAUACAUACAGACAUACAUAAUGACAUACAGACAGACAUGCAUGCAUGCAUACAGACAUGCAUGCAUAAAGACAGACACACUGAC